rnacentral:rRNA from 1 species
AGAGUUUGAUCCUGGCUUAGGAUGAACGCUGGCGGCGUGCUUAACACAUGCAAGUCGAACGAAGCAACUAUCUUGCUUGCAAGAGAGUUGACUUAGUGGCGGACGGGUGAGUAACGCGUGGGUAACCUGCCUCAUACAGGGGGAUAACAGUUGGAAACGACUGCUAAGACCGCAUAACCCGCUAGUGUCGCAUGACACGGACGGAAAAUAUUUAUAGGUAUGAGAUGGGCCCGCGUCUGAUUAGCUAGUUGGUAAGGUAACGGCUUACCAAGGCGACGAUCAGUAGCCGACUUGAGAGAGUGAUCGGCCACAUUGGGACUGAGACACGGCCCAAACUCCUACGGGAGGCAGCAGUGGGGAAUAUUGGACAAUGGGGGAAACCCUGAUCCAGCCGGCGCCGCGUGAGUGAAGAAGUAUUUCGGUAUGUAAAGCUCUAUCAGCAGGGAAGAUAAUGACAGUACCUGACUAAGAAGCCCCGGCUAACUACGUGCCAGCCGCCGC